AUGUUCCAUAGAGAGGACCAUCCAGUCUGCCACACUCAGAGGGAAAUUCCAACUGCUCUGGAUGAGUCACUUCCCCUCGAUUACCCUUCUUCAAAGGCCUCCCUCCUUGUGAAAUGUGAGGCUUUAUCAGGCUGCCUGACAAAUGCCUGGCCAGCGGGGAUCAGAGGCAAACGCCACUGCAGUUUGGCCCUGUUGUCAGAGCGAGUCACUGGCUGGGAAGAUGAAUCUGUCCUGGGCCUCAAAGCCAGGGCCGUAGCAGCCUCUCUUCUGGGCACCGAGAAGGCAGUGCUGAGCCCAGGGCUGCACUGGGAGAGACAAGGAGGGGCCCGAGUGUCUCAACCUUGGAAGAAACCUGGACCUCAGACUCAGUGCCCCUCCCAGCUCUGGCUGCAGGCUGUAGACACUUCAUUGUCUCCUGCUGAGCGACUGAGGACUUGGGAGGAAAUCCUGCUUAGAACUUCAAACCUCCAUUCCCAGAGCCGCAACCAGACACUGGAGGGGCAAAGAAGGUGGCAUCAGGAGAUCAUGAGGAGGGUCUCCCCGGGCAUGGAUGGACCUCCUGCCUGGAGGGGCUCAGUCCAGGAUUUCCCAAAAGCCAGCCCCAAGACCUGUGCUAAGCUUCUUACAUCCAAAUACUGGGAAAUAGAAAAUACAGAUCGCAGAUUCUGUAACGUGGGAUCUCUCUCUCCCUUCUCCUCACCUGUGCCUGCGUGCAUGUGUGGCUGUGUGGAUUGGGAGCCACUGAGACCCAGAGAUGGCAAAUGCUCUCAGCGGACAGCAUGUCCCCUGCCAGGGGCUUCAGAACAAUCAGACGGAUGGCCCGGACUUCAGCGAUACAAAUUCACUCUGAGGAGGCAGAGAGAUGUCAUUUGGCCAGACUGUGUGAUGCAUCGAACCUCUGCCCUAGGUGAGACUGUAAAGGUCAUCAAACCCAGCCACAUCAUCAUAGCUUCAUUCGACAGUCAUCGAAGACCUGCCUUGGGUGGUGAGGAUGGAGUGGUGAGCAAGAAAUGGAUGAAGACAUAAAGCUUCUGGAACCUAAAAAUGCUGCCUACAGGGUCACGAUGACGACCCUGAAGACCACAGUGACGUGGGCUGUGCAGGAACCCCCUGGACUUCUUUGGUUUUGGGGGUCAGCACUCCUACGGGGUCUAAUGUCCUGCCAAAAGCUUGCCCUUAGAGACCAGAAACUCUGAUACGAGACCUUCCAAGCUUAAGGCUUUGAUCCCAGUUAAAUGACAUCUCUCUGGAAGGCAUGGCACGUGAGGCUGUAAUCAG
rnacentral:lncRNA from 13 species